AGAGUUUGAUCCUGGCUCAGAUUGAACGCUGGCGGCAGGCCUAACACAUGCAAGUCGAGCGGAAACGAUCCUAGCUUGCUAGGAGGCGUCGAGCGGCGGACGGGUGAGUAACGCGUGAGAAUCUACCCAUGAGUGGGGGACAACCCGGGGAAACUCGGGCUAAUACCGCAUACGCCCUACGGGGUAAAGCAGGGGACCUUCGGGCCUUGCGCUGAUGGAUGAGCUCGCGUCGGAUUAGCUUGUUGGUGAGGUAAAGGCUCACCAAGGCGACGAUCCGUAGCUGGUCUGAGAGGAUGAUCAGCCACACCGGGACUGAGACACGGCCCGGACUCCUACGGGAGGCAGCAGUGGGGAAUCUUGGACAAUGGGGGCAACCCUGAUCCAGCCAUGCCGCGUGUGUGAAGAAGGCCUUCGGGUUGUAAAGCACUUUCAGCAGGGAGGAAGGCUUACCCCUAAUACGGGUGAGUACUUGACGUUACCUGCAGAAGAAGCACCGGCUAAUUUCGUGCCAGCAGCCGCGGUAAU
rnacentral:rRNA from 1 species